rnacentral:tRNA from 1 species
GGACUGGUUAACUCAGUCACUUAGAGCUUGGUGCUGAUAAAACCAAGGUUGUGGGUUCGAUCCCCAUUUGGUCCC